ensembl:lncRNA
CUCAUUUAAGGGCCUGCAGCUGCAAGGGAAGCUUCUCUGCUCCAAGGUUGCUUUCUUUGGAGUAUUUGGUGAGCCCUGAUCCUUGGAAAGGGUUUUCCAGCUGGUGCUGCUUCUUUGAAUACCUGUUUGCACUGGGAGGCCACUAGAUGUGGUUCAGAGGAAGCCUGCCAAAAUUUCAGAACUCUGCAUCUUCUCCUUGAGGGCAGACCACUCUCCUAGUGGCCUCUGGAAGCCUGUAUCGAGAUCAAAACUUUGUAAUUCACUUUGCUACAUGGUGAAAUAAGACGUGUUUUUUCUCUUCCCACUCUCCAGAGUUGCUGUCCUUUACUGCCUUUUAGAGGUGAUGAUCACUCCAUUGCUGGCUUCCGGAUUCCAUCCUCCCUCUGAUCCAAGAUCUGUCCUCUCUGGUCUGAAACACUGAUAUCACAAAAGAAAUCAGUUUUUCUGGUUCAGGCUAUUCAGAACUGUUGUUCUUGGGCAAAACAGCCAAAAUAAGAAGAAAGUCUCAAUGCACAAGGAUACUGAGUUGCUCAAGCAUGUGCAAAAAAAGACCAAUGAAGCUGGUGAAGUGACUAGUAAACAAGAUUUAUGAGGAGUGGCUCAGGACACGUGGACUGCUCCACCCUGUAGUGAGAAACACGUCUUUGGUGACACGGGUCCGCAAGCAGUCUGCUUCAAAACUGCAGGUUGAUUAAAAAAGAAAAAAAAACCUACAAUGUUCACACUGCAGGAGUAUCUGUUCUUAAAACCAUUUACAAUAAAGAGGAAACAAAAUAAAAAUAUUGAGAAUGAAGUGGAAAAAUAAAGUAUGUGAUAUGGAGAAGUCAAUUUCGUUAAGAGAUCUGAAGAAAGAGAUGAGAGUAGAAAGAAUAAUGACAGAUUUUAAGCUGCCCAGACCUUAGAGUUCGAGGACCACUGGGAGAAGUGAGUUUGCAUCUGUGGUCAUUGAAACUGUAAGGGAAAAAAAUUAUCUGCUCAACAUUUAUAAGUCCAUGGGACCUUAUGGAAUUAGCAGACAUUCUAGUUGGACACCUCUCAUCAAUUUAUUUAACAAAGGUUGUGGAAGUAUGGUGGGGAUUUGUGCUGACUGGAAGCUAUCCAAUGUUAUACCAAUCUGCAUGUAAGAAGAUCCAGAAAGCUACACCUGUUAAUCUAACCUCAGUCCCUGGAGAAGUUAUGGAGAAGAUUGUUCUGGAUGAUAUUGAAAGGCAGUUAAAGAAAAAAGCCAUAAGCAGGUACAGUCAAAAUGACUUCAUCCAGUGAAAGUCCUGUCUUAGUAAUUUGAUAUCAUUCUAUAAUAAGAUCACUCCCUUGGUGAAUGGAGGAGAAGUGGUGGACAUAAUCUUCCUAGAAUUUAGUAAGGCCUUUGGUACCAUCCCUCAUGGAUCCCUUCUGGAAUAUUUGUCCACCUCUGAGAUAAACAUCUUCACACUUUGCUGGGCAGUGAAGUGGCUUAACAGUAGCGCUCAAAUGAUUACAGGGAAUAGGGCUACAUCUGUUUGAUGUCCAGUCACAAGUGCUGUUCCCAUUUGUAUGGCUAGUUCUGUUCAACAUUUUUAUCAGUGAUCUGGAUACAGGAGUGAAAUGCAUCCCUAGCAAGUUUGAUGAUACUAAACUGGAAGGUACUGUUUUUUCACUGGGGUGAAAAGAGGCCUUGCUGAGGGUCCUAGAAUGAUUGAAGCACUGGGGCAAUAAUCAAUGAUGUGAAAAUGUACUGGGUUCUGAACCUGUGAUGGAGUAAUUUGGGAAAAAGGUACAGACUGGGAUGGAGUAGCUCAGUAGAAUCUCAACAUGAGCUCCCAUUGUGUCCUGUGAGGAGAACCUGAGGACAUUUUUGGUUGUCCUAGUGUGGAGAAGAGGAGGCUGACAGGCAACCUCGCUGCUCUCCAUGACUUCUUGAGGAGGACAAGUUUAAAGAUUUCUUCUCCCUUAUCACUGAUAACAGGACAUGCAGGAACAGCAUAAAGCUGUGCUAGGGACACUGGACACUAGGAAAUAUUUGUUUGCCAUGAGAGCGUUCAAAUACUGGAACAAUCUUCCUAGCAAAUCCCUGUCAGUACUGAAGUCAUUUGGAUAAUGCCCUCAUUAAUGUGCUUUAACUUUUGGCUAACACUAAAGUAGUCAGGCAGUUGGAUUGGAUGAUCCUUGAACUCUUCUAAACAAGACUUAAAAAUAGAAGACACAUAAGAAAUGAAUAUAAGAGCAUAGAUGUCCUUCUGAGAUCCACGUUUUGUCAUGAGUGGAAGCACAUUCAGAUACCAAAGAAAGACCAUUCUGUUCAUUGACAAAAGUUGAGAUGUCUCACCUUAUUUUGUACUUUGAAACUAAGUUCUCCUCAGCUUGACUGAUGCUUUGCCUAGGCCAAAAUCAGAAGUAUACAAAAUGUCAGGAUCUUUAGAGGUGAUAACAGAAGACGUUUUGGAGCAUGGGAGCAGUUUCCUUAGCAGGAGGUUCAUUGUGACCAAUGGGUUGUGAGAGUUUAUCGCCUGUUUGGAUGAAGAACAUUGCCUAAAAAUUGCCUACCAGCCCUCUGUUAUAAUUGAUUGCACUUUCAGAACAGCAGUCAUGAAGUAAAAGAAGGUAGUAAGUAUUGUUAAACUAUGUUAAAGAGUAAUAAAAAUACUCUAUUGUUCCACAUCAUUUUGAGUCCAACAGUGUCAAAAUGUAUAACUAUCAUUAGUAAAAGUAUACAA